rnacentral:rRNA from 1 species
UACGAAGGGGGCUAGCGUUGCUCGGAAUCACUGGGCGUAAAGGGUGCGUAGGCGGGUCUUUUAAGUCAGGGGUGAAAUCCUGGAGCUCAACUCCAGAACUGCCUUUGAUACUGAAGAUCUUGAGUUCGGGAGAGGUGAGUGGAACUGCGAGUGUAGAGGUGAAAUUCGUAGAUAUUCGCAAGAACACCAGUGGCGAAGGCGGCUCACUGGCCCGAUACUGACGCUGAGGCACGAAAGCGUGGGGAGCAAACAGGGAUUAAGAA